GGCCUAGGUUUAGAUAACACUAGAACACACCCGUGAUAUCACGGGUCCGUGACUGAAUUAAAGUAUAUAACUAUGCGCAAGCCUUAUUUUAGUAUUAGUAUUGUCAUCUGAUAAAGUCAUGUCGAUUAUAAGAUACACAGUUUUUCUCUGCUUUCAAGUCUUUCUGUUUGAACCCGUUGAACUGGAACUUAUCAGUUAUUGGUAAUAUUAAUUAUUUGAAAACAAAAGGUCCUGGAAUGGAGUAUUUUUUAA
rnacentral:lncRNA from 1 species